rnacentral:tRNA from 1 species
GAAACAACAAUAAAUAAGCUUCUAACUUAAUUUCAAGCAUUAAAAUGUUUAUGUUUCU